rnacentral:rRNA from 1 species
UAACAUGCAAGUCGAACGGCAGCACGGGUGCUUGCACCUGGUGGCGAGUGGCGAACGGGUGAGUAAUACAUCGGAACAUGUCCUGUAGUGGGGGAUAGCCCGGCGAAAGCCGGAUUAAUACCGCAUACGAUCUACGGAUGAAAGCGGGGGACCUUCGGGCCUCGCGCUAUAGGGUUGGCCGAUGGCUGAUUAGCUAGUUGGUGGGGUAAAGGCCCACCAAGGCGACGAUCAGUAGCUGGUCUGAGAGGACGACCAGCCACACUGGGACUGAGACACGGCCCAGACUCCUACGGGAGGCAGCAGUGGGGAAUUUUGGACAAUGGGCGAAAGCCUGAUCCAGCAAUGCCGCGUGUGUGAAGAAGGCCUUCGGGUUGUAAAGCACUUUUGUCCGGAAAGAAAUCCUGAGGGCUAAUAUCCUUCGGGGAUGACGGUACCGGAAGAAUAAGCACCGGCUAACUACGUGCCAGCAGCCGCGGUAAUACGUAGGGUGCGAGCGUUAAUCGG